UACGUACCGUACGAACGUUAUUCGGAAUUACUGGGCGUAAAGCGUGCGCAGGCGGUUCGUUAAGUCAGCUGUGAAAGCCCCGGGCUCAACCUGGGAAUGGCGGUUGAAACUGGCGAACUUGAAUCUGGCAGAGGGGGGUGGAAUUCCACGUGUAGCAGUGAAAUGCGUAGAGAUGUGGAGGAACACCGAUGGCGAAGGCAGCCCCCUGGGUCAAGACUGACGCUCAUGCACGAAAGCGUGGGGAGCAAACAGG
rnacentral:rRNA from 1 species